CCUUUCACAUUCAUUAAAACAAAAAAGAAACCAAACGCCUCAUACGUGCUGUCAUCUUUCAACAUACCACUCAACCCUUUAGGACAGGAAACAGAUUGAGACUCAGGUGAAACUAUGCAGACAGAGACAUUUAUGGGUUUUCUUCUCUUACUCUGUGCCGCUCAGCAUGGUGACUGCGUGGUGAUAAAGUUUCCUGGACUCCAUUCAAGCAUAGCCAGUUGCAUAAAAAGGACAUGUGCCAGCAGCAUCAAUGCCUGCGUGGACACACAGGGACAGACGCCCACAGCGAAGCUCAAAGGUUGUAUUGUCCAGAACUGUAAGAAACUCUCAAGCUUCUGUCUAGACCAGUUUCUCGAUCCUCAGCUGCAAAGCUGGUUGGUCAAGUAUCCACACACUCUUUCGGAUUUGGAUACGGAGGCUCUGAAGACUGAUCUGGUAGAGACCUAUUUUCAGUGCUGGCUUGAGUUCACAGGCUACAAUGUUUUGGGCUGUUUCAUGAACAGACUUAUCGACAAAUCUCAGACGUUCAUCACCAAGUGGUCUCCACUGUUCUUCAAUGAGCCCAGUCAGCAAACCUUUGUGCCCUGUUGGCUUUCUCAUGCUCUGAAGGGACUAGUCAACUGUUUUGGUCAUCUGGAUGAGAACUACAUUAGGGAAGUUGGAAAAAGAGCGGAGAGAGAGAUGAAGAACGAUAUUUAUCGUUAUAUGAUGUGCAUGAGGAAGCCUCUGGAAAACUGGAACAUGUGUAAAGGAUUUGUGAAUGAUCUAUUUGGCUCAACCCCAACAGAGAAACGGCACUACAAAGACUUCCUUAUCUGCUCAAUCCACAAUGGGAUUACUGCUACAACGAAAUGCUAACCGGUACCAGGUAACACCCUUCAUGAGGAAAAUGUACCGAACAUUAAAACAGUGGUUCAAAACCAGGGGAACUGAGAUCUACAGGGGGGUACUUGAGCAGACUCAUGAGACCACAUGAUACUGGUAAAAUGGACACGAGGUGUUACUUCAGGGGUACGCUGGACAAAGCUAAAUUCAGUUGGUAGUAGAGAACCAGGAAGGGUCAGGGACCAGGGUAUUAAAUUACCAGUUUGCAGAAUUUGUUCUCCAUGCAGACGUGAGGUGAAUUGCAGCAACAACAGUUUGCAUUCCACACACUCUCCUUAAUCCAACGAGGUGAAGUACAGUUCACAGUAGACACUCUGUGUAUAUUAGUUUUGUCUACCGAAUAUAAACCGAAUGUCAAUUAUACUUGCACUGGUGCUGCUGGAAAGUUUACCUUUUUUGUUCAACUGGCAUUCAAAACCUGUAAAAACUUUUAUUUUUGAUAUUCUGAGGUAUCUUUUUAGAGCUCUGUAUAAUAUUAGCUGGAAGGAAAUGACAGUGACAGUACAAUCCAGUCUCCAGUGUAGAUUUCAUUUUAGUAGAUAAACCUGUUACACUACAUUUUGUAUGUUGCAUUACUUUCUAUGACAUUUGAACUUGCAAAGCGCACAGUGUCUUCAGAAAGUUUCAGAUCUCAUCACUUUCUCCAGAUGUUUUUGUGUUAUAGGCUUAAUUUAUAAUUUAUAAUAAAAAGAAAUUGCCAUCUAUCUACACACAA